GGGAGCGUGGCGUUGGGACUCCCAUGCCCUACUAAUUCCUCACCUCCCACGUUCUCCUGCUAAUUUCCCACGCCGGCGUUUGGGAUUUCCUCUGUCGAUGCGCGAGAUGGCGCGGCUCACCACGGGAAACUCCGGCCCCGGGGCAGUACAAGACCGAGGCGGCGAGCACCACGAGCACUGAGGUGAACGACGGCAAGCCCGCCGGACGCUGACAAUCCCCGCGGACUCCCGCGGCAUGUCGACGGCAGGAAGGUCUCCAUCGACGAAGGGGAGAUGUUGACGGAGGAGCUCGUGCGGGUCGCCUGGAGGAGGACGUACGCGGGCGCUUCUCCGCCAGGGCGGCGCCGUGCUUCCACAUGCAGAAGGGAAGGAAGGGCAUCAACCAGGACACCAUGGUCGCAUGGGAGGCAUGUUGCUGAUCGAUGCCAGGCCAAUCUGGGUGCCUCUGGUCUUCGGCAGGCUUAAUUCUUAAUUCAAAGUAGAUGACCUGAUCCAAAGUGAAAGCUAGACUAUUGAGGCUUGAAGAGCUGAAAGAAAUAUUAGCCUGUUCUCCUGGAAAGUAUGUUUCAACUA